AACGAACGCUGGCGGCAUGCCUAACACAUGCAAGUCGAACGAGACCUUCGGGCCUUUUGGCGCACGGGUGCGUAACGCGUGGUAACCUGCCCUUAGGUUCGCAAUAACUCAGAGAGAUUUGACCUAAUACCGCAUGAUGUCUUCGGACCAAAGAUUUAUCGCCUUUAGAUGGGCCCGCGUUGGAUUAGCUAGUUGGUGGUGUAAAGGCAUACCAAGGCGACGAUGCAUAGCUGGUCUGAGAGCAUGCUCAGCCACGAUGGAACUGAGACACGGCCCAGUCGCGUACGGGAGGGAGCAGUGGAGUAUAUUGUAGGCUGGACGAAGGUCUGAUCCAGCCACGUCGCGUGAGUGAGGAAGGCCUUAGGGUUGUAAAGCUGUUUUACACGAGAUGAUAGUGACAGUAUCGGGAGAAUAAGCACCGGCUAACUACGUG
rnacentral:rRNA from 1 species